rnacentral:lncRNA from 1 species
GACGUGUGGGGUGAGAAUAUCAAAAGUCCUAACCCGGGCUGAGUGAACUUAUGUUUAGGUAGAGAUAUAAUCGACAAUUCGAUCCGGGGGUUGCCUCGUGUAUUGGAUUAUGCGAUCAAUCUCACAUAGCUGAGGCAUUUUGAAGGUGAUAUUGUCGGCGUGUGUUGUCAUGCUUAGGCACUUCACUUUCAAUUGUUCGACGAAGCUAUGAACCGUAGUUACCAAACCCAUCCUAGCCUUUUUAGGACGUAGUGCGGUGGCUAAAUUGAGUGUUGUCUCAAACUUUAGUCGUCACGCGAUACUACACUCAAACUAGACCUUCUCACAAAUAAUCAUGGAACGGGUGUCGUCCUGUACUACCAUGAUAUAUGUGAGAGAGGUUGCAGUUUGGGAACUGUGUUAGAACCUUGGUUACUACUAUCCAAAGCCUUAGUUCACCGGACGCCGUGUCCAUCCG